GCAGUAGCCGCGGUAAUACGGAGGGUGCAAGCGUUAAUCGGAAUUACUGGGCGUAAAGCGCACGCAGGCGGUCUGACAAGUCAGAUGUGAAAUCCCCGGGCUUAACCUGGGAACUGCAUUUGAAACUGUCAGGCUGGAGUCUUGUAGAGGGGGGUGGAAUUCCAGGUGUAGCGGUGAAAUGCGUAGAGAUCUGGAGGAAUACCGGUGGCGAAGGCGGCCCCCUGGACAAAGACUGACGCUCAGGUGCGAAAGCGUGGGGAGCAAACAGGAUUAGAUACCCCGGUAGUCCCUGUCUCUUAUAC
rnacentral:rRNA from 1 species